rnacentral:SRP_RNA from 1 species
CCAUACCAGCCGGGGAAUUAGCGGAGCCCUGUACCUGAAAUCCGCUACAGCAGGGGUGGACUCCUCUUUUGAGGAAUGAGCUCUUACGAAUUGAGUCGUAUCUGCUGUGUUGACGAAUGGGUCUUGCGCAAUCAGGACUCGUGAACCAUGUCAGGUGGGGGACCAAGCAGCAUUAAGCGAUCAUCUUGAUGUGCCGCGAGGGUGCCUGUUCUGAGCAGGAGGUGCGAAUAUCGCGUGGGAGCGACUUUCGAUUUUGGGGUGUAUGG